rnacentral:rRNA from 1 species
UUCGGAUUGGGGUCUGCAACUCGACCCCAUGAAGUCGGAAUCGCUAGUAAUCGCGUAACAGCAUGACGCGGUGAAUACGUUCCCGGGCCUUGUACACACCGCCCGUCACACCAUGGGAGUUGGGUUUACCCGAAGGCGGUGCGCCAACCUCGCAAGAGGAGGCAGCCGACCACGGUGAGCUCAGCGACUGGGGUGAAGUCGUAACAAGGUAGCCGUAGGGGAACCUGCGGCUGGAUCACCUCCUUUCUAAGGA